rnacentral:pre_miRNA from 1 species
UCAGUACUCCCUCCGUCCAAAAAUACUUGUCAUUGAAAUGGAUGUAUCUAGAUGUAUUUUAGUUGUAGAUACAUCCAUUUUCAUCCAUUUUGAUGACAAGUAUUUCCGGACGGAGGGAGUACUAU